GAAGUCUGAAUAUGAAUGAUAAGUAUUAUCAUUUUGCUGACGAAAACUGUUUUACUCAGGAGGAAGGAAAUUAAUUUUCCUUGUUUAUAAUGAAAUAAGGUGGCGUUUUAUAAGCACGGCUGAUUCGUGCGCAUAUGAAUGUAAAGGGAUUCAGCUUUGGGGAACCGAUACCUUCACAUCGAUUCAAUUCAUUCUUAAAUUUUACAAGAAAAUGUUUUUGGUGAAAGUUUGCUUUCAUUAUACAAUUUCAUUACAUGAAUAAUAAUUUGUUUUCACAUGUCUACAAAGAACAUAGCAAUGCAAUAUACACUUGUACAACUUGAUUUAGUCCGUAUACAUAAAUCAUGUAAUGAGAUGUUUUCGAUACAUCAUUGUAAAGGAGCUUAUGGGUGAUGAGGCCCGACAUCUAGUGGUACAAAUCAAAUCCUGUAAAUCUGGAUGACAAACGGGCAGAGGUUUCUGAGUUUUCCCCAAAAGGAGGGCGUUAUCUCAGUUUUGCCUUGGCCAGUCGACCACGUCAGUAAGCUCCAUUUUUUGCAAGCAUGUUGUUACCUAGACAUACUUCGCUCAUGUUGCAAGUUCAUGCUGUAUGUGUUAAUCGGUUUCCAAAGUGCUUCUCUGAGACUUCAAAAAUAAUCUACAGAAUAUGUGUUUUGUCCGCACUAAGUGUAAUAAGUCACACUGAUAUCGAAAAUGUGUAUGUUGUGUACAGCAUUUGUAGCUUUAAAUAUUGUAGUCAUUAUUUGUUUGACCUUGUUUUCUGUUGCGAAAUAUGGGUUCUAAUCUCUCACCCGUAUAGCAUAGCGUGCUAUAUACUCAACCUGUGGCGAACUCUUUAUUCAACUUACGCUGUGUUCGUUUAAAGAGGCAGAGACAAAGGUAAUGCGUACUGCAGUUUACCGAUACGAAAUACUAAAGCAGAUUUUAGUUGAAAUAUGAAAAUUAAAAUCUAAUCUUGAAAACGAGUAUGCAGUAUGUUCUUUUCACCCAUUUUGUGUUUACUAUAGUUAAAAUUAGAAAUAUGGUCUAAGACAUUAAUAAAGUUAAUUGCAUGAAACGUGAUUAUGAAUGAAUUCAAUUACCCCAAUUGAAGCAUUUGUAGAACUGAACGUUAAUGUUACAUGUUUGAGUGAGUUGCUGUAGAAUAUUUCCAGAUUGAUAUCCAUCAUUAUUCCCUGCCCUAGCUCCGAAUACGAACAAUCAUAUCAUGAGAUGUUAAGUCGAUAACAUCGUACGUGUAAGUCUAAUGUAUCAAUGGUUCAGGCUAUACACUUUUGUGUUUCCGGUGUGGUCUAGUGGUUAGGAUUUCUGGUUUUCACCCAGACGGCCCUGGUUCGAUUCCCGGCACCGGAACUUAGUUUAUGGUAUUAAAGCAUUUUAGCUCUUACAUCAAUACCGUCAUUGUUAACUUUCGUAUAAUCUACUGAAUGUGUGUUUUGUCCGCAGCUAGCUCAGUAAGACACACUGAUAUUGAAAACGUUAAUGUUGUGUACAGGCAUUGUGGCCUGAGAACGUUUUUCUUGUUCCUAAAUAAUGGAUUCUAUGCUCUUUAAGAAUUGUCGUGUUGCAUAUCAGAAGACACAGAGCUAAGGUAUAUGAUGAUGAUGGUUGUUCCUUUUAUGUUUUUAUAUGGUAAAUGUGGUUAUAUUUAUAUUGACAAAAAAUCAGAUCUUAGAUUUUCAUAUUUCCGUUGGAAAAUUAAUGAUAUAUGACUUAAACCGUUACGUGUGGUUUGAGAAAAAUGCAUAAAACACCAAUUUUUGAACUUUAAUAUGAAAACCUGCGAUCGUAGUUUUUGUCAGCAGUCUUGUAUCACUGGUUUCCAUGGAUUUUCGCAAAAAAUUGGCUCGUUCCAAGACAAAAAAAUAAAACACUUGUCAAAACAUUUAAUCUGUGAGAGUGCAUCUUUAACACAAAUAUGAUAAACUACGUUGUCUUUAAUCGUGUGUGAGCAAACAGGCGCAGAAACAAUGUAUUAGUAAAGUAUGUAAAGUAUUCACAGCUGUAUAUUCGUUGAGACAGUUAUAACAGUAACACUGAAGCCAUUAUUCGGUUAACCUAUAUGUUUCCUAUACGUAUAUCGGUAUCGAUGUUCUAGUUUUGUCACGUCCUAAUCUCUCACCUGUACUAUAAAGCGUGCUAUAUACUCAACCUUGUGGCGAACUAUUUAUUCAACUCGCGUUUUGUAGGUUUAAAGAUGCAGAGUCAACUGGGGUUUUUUCUGUACAAAAGUUAUAAAAGUCUGAAAGCUAUAAAUUGUAAUGGUCUGUUUAUGUUGUACAAAUUGUUGGCAUUAAAUUAAGUAAAAUGAAAUCUGUAUACCAUAUUAUAUUCUUUUUAUAAUAAUUCAACACUUCAAUGGAUCUUUUAACAUCUAACAUAUGCAUUUAAUAAGACAGUUUAUAUAUUGUCUAACAUUGUACUAAUGUACAUUUACACAUUAUCAAAUUCAAUUUUUAAAUUGAUUACUUAGGUACCUAUGACAAUUUUUUUAAAGAACGAUCGAUUAUAUAAUUUACCUUUUCCGUGUACCGUAACACAUAAAUAGUGAUAGUGUCACUUUAAUACCUGUGGGACGUUCGCUUGUAUAGCUGAUAAAAUAGGUCAAGUUAUUUUCACCCGGUGACGAUUUGGGUAUAAAUUGAGGGUUUUCUGAUCAGAAUGAACAUUCACAACCUUAAGCUAAUACACAAACAGGCACACACACAGAGGAAAUUAUUUUGACAUUGCGAUAUACUUAGGUAAAGACCACGUAUAAAAUGGCGGACAAGAAGGAUAUUAGCGCGUUACUACCCGUAGCCAUGGCAACGCUUUUCCAAAGUGGUUGUUUCUUGUGUGUCGGUAUAUUACGUCCAGCGUUAACGUUUCUCCCAAAGGAUCCAGUGACGUUGAUAGGAACCGUGUACGGAUUGGCGGCGGUGGACAUGUUUGUGUAUUAUUACUAUAAGAAAGGACAGAACAAUAAACAAGCGUGAUAAACCUGUUCACGAAAUACUUUUAAACUGAUCACAUACUACCGCAAUGUAAUAGGAUUUCAUCGAAUGUACUCCGAGUUCAUAGUUAUCAUGAUAUCAAACGUUAUUUAUAUGAAAGCGUGUACUGAUUUGUAGUAAACUAUCGCAGGUUCACUGUAUAAUUAUCAAAAUAGUAUGCAAUAAAUAAAAAGCGACAAAUGUCGUUUUUCAGAUUAUUGAAUUAUGUGCUAAUCUUAACGACACUCAUGUGACUAUUUAUUGUAAUGUUACAUUGUUCUAUGAUCCUUCUUGUAAACGAUAUAGUAUCCACAUAACUCGAAGUACAUUUAUUAAAUAGGUACGAUUCAACGAUAUAAUUAUGUACAUUUUGAAUAAAUGACUUAGAAAAUA